rnacentral:rRNA from 1 species
GACGAACGCUGGCGGCGUGCUUAACACAUGCAAGUCAAGGGGGCCCGCAAGGGUAACCGGCGAACGGGUGCGUAACACGUGAGCAAUCUGCCUAGAUGUGGGGGAUAGCCGGCCCAACGGCCGGGUAAUACCGCAUACGCUCGUCGACUGGCAUCAGUUGACGAGGAAACUUUCGAGGCAUCUAGAGGAGCUCGCGGCCUAUCAGCUAGUUGGUGGGGUAACGGCCUACCAAGGCGGUGACGGGUAGCUGGUCUGAGAGGAUGGCCAGCCACAUUGGGACUGAGAUACGGCCCAGACUCCUACGGGAGGCAGCAGUGGGGGAAUAUUGCGCAAUGGCCGAAAGGCUGACGCAGCGACGCCGCGUGGGGGAUGAAGGUCUUCGGAUUGUAAACCCUUUCGGAGGGAAGAUGGAGUGGGUAACCGACUUGGACGGUACCGUCCAGAAGCAGCCACGGCUAACUCGUGCCAGCAGCCGC